rnacentral:tRNA from 2 species
GCUUCCAUGGCGCAAUGGAUAGCGCAUCUGACUUCUAAUCAGGAGGUUGCGGGUUCGAGUCCCGCUGGAAGUG